UGGGGAAUAUUGGACAAUGGGGGCAACCCUGAUCCAGCCAUGCCGCGUGUGUGAAGAAGGCCUUUUGGUUGUAAAGCACUUUAAGCAGGGGGGAGAGGCUAAUGGUUAAUACCCAUUAGAUUAGACGUUACCUGCAGAAUAAGCACCGGCUAACUCUGUGCCAGCAGCCGCGGUAAUACAGAGGGUGCGAGCGUUAAUCGGAAUUACUGGGCGUAAAGCGAGUGUAGGUGGCUCAUUAAGUCACAUGUGAAAUCCCCGGGCUUAACCUGGGAACUGCAUGUGAUACUGGUGGUGCUAGAAUAUGUGAGAGGGAAGUAGAAUUCCCAGGUGUAGCGGUGAAAUGCGUAGAGAUCUGGAGGAAUACCGAUGGCGAAGGCAGCUUCCUGGCAUAAUAUUGACACUGAGAUUCGAAAGCGUGGGUAGCAAAACAGGAUUAGAUACCCUGGUAGUCCACGCCGUAAACGAUGUCUACUAGCCGUUGGGGUCCUUGAGACUUUAGUGGCGCAGUUAACGCGAUAAGUAGACCG
rnacentral:rRNA from 1 species